rnacentral:rRNA from 1 species
AAAGGAAUUGACGGGGGCCCGCACAAGCAGUGGAGUAUGUGGUUUAAUUCGAAGCAACGCGAAGAACCUUACCAGGGCUUGACAUACCGAUGACGGAGUUAGAGAUAGCUCUUCCCUACGGGGCAUUGGAUACAGGUGGUGCAUGGUUGUCGUCAGCUCGUGUCGUGAGAUGUUGGGUUAAGUCCCGCAACGAGCGCAACCCUUGUUGUUAGUUGCCAGCACGUUAUGGUGGGCACUCUAGCAAGACUGCCGGUGACAAAUCGGAGGAAGGUGGGGAUGACGUCAAAUCAUCAUGCCCCUUAUGUCCUGGGCUACACACGUACUACAAUGGCGACCACAGAGGGCAGCAAUACCGCGAGGUGGAGCAAAUCCCGAAAAGUCGUCCCAGUUCAGAUUGCAGGCUGCAACUCGCUUGCAUGAAGGCGGAAUUGCUAGUAAUGGCAGGUCAGCAUACUGCCGUGAAUACGUUCCCGGGCCUUGUACACACCGCCCGU